rnacentral:rRNA from 1 species
CAAUAGCGUAUAUUUAAGUUGCUGCAGUUAAAAAGCUCGUAGUUGGAUUUCGGGUGGGAAUGGCCGGUCCGCCGUUUCGGUGUGCACUUGCUACGCCCACCUUGCUGCCGGGGACGUGCUCUUGAGUUCACGCUCGGGACACGGAGUCGGCGAGGUUACUUUGAGUAAAUUAGAGUGUUCAAAGCAGGCCUACGCUCUGAAUACAUUAGCAUGGAAUAACACGAUAGGACUCUGGCCUAUCUUGUUGGUCUGUAGGACCGGAGUAAUGAUUAAGAGGGACGGUCGGGGGCAUUCGUAUUUCAUUGUCAGAGGUGAAAUUCUUGGAUUUAUGAAAGACGAACUACUGCGAAAGCAUUUGCCAAGGAUGUUUUCAUUAA